UUUAAGCGUGUAGGCUGGUUUUCCAGGCAAAUCCGGAAAAUCAAGGCUGAGGCGUGAUGACGAGGCACUACGGUGCUGAAGCAACAAAUGCCCUGCUUCCAGGAAAAGCCUCUAAGCAUCAGGUAACAUCAAAUCGUACCCCAAACCGACACAGGUGGUCAGGUAGAGAAUACCAAGGCGCUUGAGAGAACUCGGGUGAAGGAACUAGGCAAAAUGGUGCCGUAACUUCGGGAGAAGG
rnacentral:rRNA from 1 species